rnacentral:tRNA from 1 species
GUUUUCGUGGUGUAGUGGUCAGCACGCUUGACGCGUAUUCGAGAGGUCCGUGGUUCGAAUCCCGGCGAGGGCA